rnacentral:rRNA from 1 species
CCUACGGGUGCCGCGUUCGGAAUGAGUACGAUUCGAACCACCUAACGAGGAACGAUCGGAGGGCAAGUCUGGUGCCAGCAGCCGCGGUAAUUCCAGCUCCAAUAGCGUACGUUAAAGUUGCUGCAGUUAAAAAGCUCGUAGUUGAACGUUCGGGUUCCGCGGGACGGGGCCGCCCCGCGAGGGACGGCGCCGCCCCGGGGCUCGUGAUAUCUUAUCUCGCCGCCCGUCGCGAGGCGGACGGAGGGAUGGAUGAGGUUACCUGGAAAAAAUCGGGGCGAUCUAGGCGGGCGAACCUCGCCAACGAACGAUCGGACAUGGGAUAACGGAAGAGGGCGUCGGCUCGACUUCGUCGGUUCCUCGGGCCGAGGCACGUACGGUGAAUAGGGACGGUCGGGGCCGCCCGUACCGGGUCGUGAGAGGUGAAAUUCUAGGAUCGACCCGAGACGAACUGCCGCGAAGCAUUCGGCAAGGACGCUUCAUUAAUCAAGAACGAAGU